rnacentral:rRNA from 1 species
AGUGAACGCUGGCGGUAGGCCUAACACAUGCAAGUCGAACGGCAGCACAGUAAGAGCUUGCUCUUACGGGUGGCGAGUGGCGGACGGGUGAGGAAUACAUCGGAAUCUACUUUUUCGUGGGGGAUAACGAAGGGAAACUUACGCUAAUACCGCAUACGACCUACGGGUGAAAGCAGGGGAUCUUCGGACCUUGCGCGAUUGAAUGAGCCGAUGUCGGAUUAGCUAGUUGGCAGGGUAAAGGCCCACCAAGGCGACGAUCCGUAGCUGGUCUGAGAGGAUGAUCAGCCACACUGGAACUGAGACACGGUCCAGACUCCUACGGGAGGCAGCAGUGGGGAAUAUUGGACAAUGGGCGCAAGCCUGAUCCAGCCAUGCCGCGUGGGUGAAGAAGGCCUUCGGGUUGUAAAGCCCUUUUGUUGGGAAAGAAAAGCAGCAGGUUAAUACGCCGCUGGUCUGACGGUACCCAAAGAGUAAGCACCGGCUAACUUCGUG